GAUCAUGGCUCAGAUUGAACGCUGGCGGCAGGCUUAACACAUGCAAGUCGAACGGUAACAUGAAGAAGCUUGCUUCUUUGAUGACGAGUGGCGGACGGGUGAGUAAUGCUUGGGAAUCUAGCUUAUGGAGGGGAUAACUACGGGAAACUGUAGCUAAUACCGCGUAGAAUCGAGAGAUGAAAGUGUGGGACCGUUCGGCCGACAUGCCAUAGGAUGAGCCCAACGUGGGAGUUGGG
rnacentral:rRNA from 1 species